GACGAACGCUGGCGGCGUGCCUAAUACAUGCAAGUCGAGCGAAUCUUUAGGAGCUUGCUCCUGAAGAUUAGCGGCGGACGGGUGAGUAACACGUGGGCAACCUGCCUGUAAGACUGGGAUAACUUCGGGAAACCGGAGCUAAUACCGGAUAAUCCUUUCCUUCACAUGAAGGAAAGCUGAAAGACGGUUUCGGCUGUCACUUACAGAUGGGCCCGCGGCGCAUUAGCUAGUUGGUGAGGUAACGGCUCACCAAGGCGACGAUGCGUAGCCGACCUGAGAGGGUGAUCGGCCACACUGGGACUGAGACACGGCCCAGACUCCUACGGGAGGCAGCAGUAGGGAAUCUUCCGCAAUGGACGAAAGUCUGACGGAGCAAUGCCGCGUGAGCGAAGAAGGCCUUCGGGUCGUAAAGCUCUGUUGUCAGGGAAGAACAAGUACCGGAGUAACUGCCGGUACCUUGACGGUACCUGACCAGAAAGCCACGGCUAACUACGUGCCAGCCGCCGCCGUAAGAC
rnacentral:rRNA from 1 species